rnacentral:rRNA from 1 species
AGAGUUUGAUCCUGGCUCAGGAUGAACGCUAGUUACAGGCUUAACACAUGCAAGGUCGAGGGGAAACGAUAUUGGAAGCUUGCUUCCGAUAGGCGUCGACCGGCGCACGGGUGAGUAACGCGUAUCCAACCUGCCCACCACUUGGGGAUAACCUUGCGAAAGUAAGACUAAUACCCAAUGAUAUCUCUAGAAGACAUCUGAAAGAGAUUAAAGAUUUAUCGGUGAUGGAUGGGGAUGCGUCUGAUUAGCUUGUUGGCGGGGUAACGGCCCACCAAGGCAACGAUCAGUAGGGGUUCUGAGAGGAAGGUCCCCCCAUUGGAACUGAGACACGGUCCAAACUCCUACGGGAGGCCGCA